AAUCACCUGAGUUACUGGUAUAGCUCUGUCACCAUCACCUCUGUUGAGACUGUUGAGAGCUUUUUAGUAACUAGGGAAUAUAUAAUAAGAGUUUGGGGUCUUCUGUCAUUGAAAUAAUCAAAGCCAAGAAUAAGCGUGAAAUGUUGGAGCAAAAAAUGGACGACCUACUGAGUCAUCAGAGACAAUUUGUCGAAAAUAAUCGUCGGUCCUUAGAACAGAAAAGAAAAGAAAAGAAAAGAAAAGAAAAGAAAAGAAAAGGAAAAGUCUUCUACAUUUCUAAGAAGUGUUUCAUCAGCUACAUGACUUACUGACAGGGGAUCUGCCGUGCGACCAGAUAAACCAGGACUUGCAGCAAGCCAACGAUGCUCUACGAGCAGAACUCAACAAAGAAAUGGAGGAAAAAAACCUUCUUCGCUGCCAGUCUGAUCAAAAAUCUCAAGAAAUCCAUCAGCUGCAAGAAGAACUGAAAACAGCUAAACAGUUUCUGAAGGAGACCCAGAAUUAUGCGGAAGAGAUGAAAAAGAAGAGUUUGUCUCAGGAAAUACAAUUUGAAAAGAAAGAAGCUGAGAUUCGGGAUUUAGAGGGGAAAAAUCAAGAUUUGACUGAGGAACUUGAGAAAGUGCAGUCAGAGUUGCAACUUAAACAAGCUGAGAUCGCUCAUCUCCAAAAUCUAUCUGCAGCCGAGUUGGCUUGUUUAAAAAAGGAAAUAGUAAACAUCAAGGCAGAGCAAAAGAAACUUCAAGAGCAACUUAACAACUCGCUUCAAGAAAAUGAGCAACUGAGCAAGGUAAUAAAAAGAAAGAAUGAAUCAGUAGCACGUUACUUAGUUCAUGACAGGGAAAAUGGAAACUAUUUCAAAUG